AGGUGUCCACCUCCACCUGCAGCUCCUCGCACUUCUGCUGCCACUCAGCCAGCAUCUUGUCAAAGACCCGCUGCUUCUUGUCCAGGGCUGCGGCCGCGGCGUUGGCCUGGGGCCCGUCAAGCAGAGCGUUUGUGUCUCUAGUUUGUGAAGGAAGAAAGUUCAAAGGACUUGAGGGCAUUCGCCACAGAGCUGGGGAACUGGCCGAGGGGGGACCUCUGCCACGGAGCAUGGCCCGUGUCCUCUCAGCAUCACCGAGGGGCCUCACCCCAGUCCCACCAGGCCCAUGGAAGCUUCCUGAGCACUUCAGAGGCAGAGAAGCCCUGCCUGGAGGCAGAUCCCGCCCCCCCACCAUCCUGACUUCCCUGCAGGGAGCCUGAGCAUUUCUGGGCAGAAGAUGUAGCUCCUCGGUCCUCUGGAUGGCGUCCGUCUCAUAUUUGGUCCUCCAGGUGGUCACCUCAGUGUUGAGUUUGGACACAAGGCGCUGCAGCUCCGACUUGCCUCCCUGCUCCUCCUCCAGCUGCUCCUUCAGCAGGUCCAGGUCGUGCUUGGUGUUGGCAAGACUCACCACGGCCGUGCUGCGGGACUGUGGUGACCAGACCAGCCUGUCAGGGCCCCCCAGUCUCUGUGGCACCCAGGGCCGUCACUUAGAGGUACACGACGUUGGAUCAACAGUACAGCGGGGUCAUCAAGGGUUUUCUGGAAGGAAAGAUACACGCGUGUGUCCUGUGAGGCAGGCGGGAGCAGCUGAACAGAUCUGGUUCUCUGCCAUCACUUUCGAGCUGAGUUGAUGAUGUCAGUGAUCAGUUACAGAGCACCUGCUCCUGGGUGGUGGGUGAGGCCACGGCACACUGAUCACCCGUCAGCCACAGGGACGCUGGACAUCUGGCCUUGCUCUGGAUAAUGGGUGCCAUGAAGAAUAAUUCUGCAUUUCACACACUUGCUGUCCCAUUCAGCCAUUCACUGUCUGCUCCAAUGGGACUACAUUUAUCAAGAGUCAACCCCUGGAGACCGAGAACUGUAUUCAAGGUAUCGGGAAGACACCACUCACCUCUGUUUGAACUCUGGAUACUGCAGCCUGUUUGGGAAGCCCUUCCUGCAAAUACGGAUGCCUUCCAGGACUCCAUUGCAAGCCAGCUGGUGCAUGAUCAGCAGACUCCUGGAAGAAAGCAACGCUUGAUCCCAAAGCUCCAGCAUGAGGGCGUUUCAGGCUCUGUGACAGCUGGACGGGCAGGUAUUUGUAGGUAUUGCGGGACAGGCAGUCCACUGCCUGUUUUGGAGACUUUUCCAGGGAGGUAAGGCUGGUCCCUAUCGAAGACCCCUGGCUGCCUGGAUGAUAGCUUCUCUAUGACGGGCCUGAGGGUGAACCUUGGAGACAAGAGACUGCUUUCUCUGAAUGAAACCCCCUGCUGAAGCCUCAUAUGAAAAACAGGUCAAAGGAGAGGUGCCAUUGUCAUCACAGAGCAACCUGCAUGGAGCAACCAUGCUGAGUACUCACGUCUGUGACCUGCAGCUCCUCCCCGUCGUCCAUGUUAUCCACGGUGGUGACACCCUGGCUCACCCAGAAGUACUCCUUAGGGUUGGGGACCAGCAGAAGACUCUCUGCCAAGAACAGGAAAGCAGCCCCUCCAUCACUGUGUACCCGCAUCUCUGCAUUCAAGCACCUGGAUUUCAAUACUGAACUGGACUCUAGUUGAUAUAGACCCUGACGGAUAAAAAUCUCUGGGAAGGAGAUGCCAUGACUUGACUCAUCCCAUUGCGGCCCUAACCCAGAGAGCAGCUGUGCCCAGUCGGCCCUACCUUCCCAUCCGAGGACUGUUUGCCAGUUCCUCCGAUGUUGGCAAAGUACUGGAUGACCUUCUUCGUGUUCUCAGUCUUGCCUGCACCAGAUUCUCCACUGCAGGUGGAAAACGAGAGCAGAUGAGUGAAGGACAAAGAGGAGAUUGCCCGCAGGGAAGCAACACGAUGAAAGAUGGAAGUCACCAGGGACAUGAGACCAAAAUCCACAUGAAAAGAAAAUGUGGGGCUUCGCUGGUGGCGCAGUGGUUGAAAG